rnacentral:rRNA from 1 species
UGGAAGUAAAAGUCGUAACAAGGUUUCCGUAGGUGAACCUGCGGAAGGAUCAUUAGUGAAUAUAGGACGUCCAACUUAACUUGGAGUCCGAACUCUCACUUUCUAACCCUGUGCACUUGUUUGGGAUAGUAACUCUCGCAAGAGAGCGAACUCCUAUUCACUUAUAAACACAAAGUCUAUGAAUGUAUUAAAUUUUAUAACAAAAUAAAACUUUCAACAACGGAUCUCUUGGCUCUCGCAUCGAUGAAGAACGCAGCGAAAUGCGAUAAGUAAUGUGAAUUGCAGAAUUCAGUGAAUCAUCGAAUCUUUGAACGCACCUUGCGCUCCAUGGUAUUCCGUGGAGCAUGCCUGUUUGAGUGUCAUGAAUACUUCAACCCUCCUCUUUCUUAAUGAUUGAAGAGGUGUUUGGUUUCUGAGCGCUGCUGGCCUUUACGGUCUAGCUCGUUCGUAAUGCAUUAGCAUCCGCAAUCGAACUUCGGAUUGACUUGGCGUAAUAGACUAUUCGCUGAGGAAUUCUAGUCUUCGGACUAGAGCCGGGUUGGGUUAAAGGAAGCUUCUAAUCAGAAUGUCUACAUUUUAAGAUUAGAUCUCAAAUCAGGUAGGACUACCCGCUGAACUUAAGCAUAUCAAUAAGCGGAG